UACGUAGGGUGCAAGCGUUAAUCGGAAUUACUGGGCGUAAAGCGUGCGCAGGCGGUGAUGUAAGACAGAUGUGAAAUCCCCGGGCUCAACCUGGGAACUGCAUUUGUGACUGCAUCGCUAGAGUACGGCAGAGGGGAAUGGAAUUCCGCGUGUAGCAGUGAAAUGCGUAGAUAUGCGGAGGAACACCGAUGGCGAAGGCAAUCCCCUGGGCCUGUACUGACGCUCAUGCACGAAAGCGUGGGGAGCAAACAGG
rnacentral:rRNA from 1 species